rnacentral:rRNA from 1 species
AUACGGAGGAUGCAAGCGUUAUCCGGAUUUAUUGGGUUUAAAGGGUGCGUAGGCGGAUGAUUAAGCGUGAGGUGAAAUGCCACUGCUCAACAGUGGAACUGCCUCGCGAACUGGUUGUUUUGAAUGCUCCUGCCGUGGGAGGAAUGUGUGGUGUAGCGGUGAAAUGCAUAGAGAUCACACAGAACACCGAUUGCGAAGGCAUCUCACGAAGGGGUGAUUGACGCUGAGGCACGAAAGCGUGGGGAUCAAACAGGAUUAGAUACCCUGGUAGUCCGCACAGUAAACGAUGAAUACUUGUUUUCGGCGAUAUAAUGUCGGAGGCAAAGCGAAAGCGAUAAGUAUUCCACCUGGGGAGUACGCCGGCAACGGUGAAACUCAAAUGAAUUGGCGGGG